rnacentral:rRNA from 1 species
AUUGAACGCUGGCGGCAUGCCUAACACAUGCAAGUCGAACGAAGGCUUCGGCCUUAGUGGCGCACGGGUGCGUAACGCGUGGGAAUCUGCCCCUCGGUUCGGAAUAACAGUUAGAAAUGACUGCUAAUACCGGAUGAUGACUUCGGUCCAAAGAUUUAUCGCCGAGGGAUGAGCCCGCGUAAGAUUAGGUAGUUGGUGGGGUAAAGGCCUACCAAGCCGACGAUCUUUAGCUGGUCUGAGAGGAUGAUCAGCCACACUGGGACUGAGACACGGCCCAGACUCCUACGGGAGGCAGCAGUGGGGAAUAUUGGACAAUGGGCGAAAGCCUGAUCCAGCAAUGCCGCGUGAGUGAUGAAGGCCUUAGGGUUGUAAAGCUCUUUUACCAGGGAUGAUAAUGACAGUACCUGGAGAAUAAGCUCCGGCUAACUCCGUGCCAGCCGCCGCGGUAACAC